GACGAACGCUGGCGGCGUGCUUAACACAUGCAAGUCGAACGGAAAGGCCCUGCUUUUGUGGGGUGCUCGAGUGGCGAACGGGUGAGUAACACGUGAGUAACCUGCCCUUGACUUUGGGAUAACUUCAGGAAACUGGGGCUAAUACCGGAUAGGAGCUCCUGCUGCAUGGUGGGGGUUGGAAAGUUUCGGCGGUUGGGGAUGGACUCGCGGCUUAUCAGCUUGUUGGUGGGGUAGUGGCUUACCAAGGCUUUGACGGGUAGCCGGCAUGAGAGGGUGACCGGCAACAUUGGGACUGAGAUACGGACCAGACUCGUACGGGAGGCAGCAGUGGGGAAUAUUGCACAAUGGGCGGAAGCCUGAUGCAGAAACGCGGCGUGCGGGAUGACGGCCUUCGGGUUGUAAACCGCUUUCGCCUGUGACGAAGAGUGAGUGACGGUAAUGGGUAAAGAAGCACCGGCUAACUACGUG
rnacentral:rRNA from 1 species